AUUGAACGCUGGCGGCAGGCCUAACACAUGCAAGUCGAGCGAGCGGCGGACGGGUGAGUAAUGUCUGGGAAACUGCCUGAUGGAGGGGGAUAACUACUGGAAACGGUAGCUAAUACCGCAUACCAUCAGAUGUGCCCAGUUGGGCUUAGCUAGUGGGUAGGGUAAUGGCUCACCUAGGCGACGAUCCCUAGCUGGUCUGAGAGGAUGACCAGCCACACUGGAACUGAGACACGGUCCAGACUCCUACGGGAGGCAGCAGUGGGGAAUAUUGCGCAAUGGGCGCAAGCCUGAUGCAGCCAUGCCGCGUGUGUGAAGAAGGCCUUCGGGUUGUAAAGCACUUUCAGCGGGGAAGCGUUACCCGCAGAAGAAGCACCGGCUAACUCCGUGCCAGCAGCCGCGGUAAUUC
rnacentral:rRNA from 1 species